rnacentral:lncRNA from 1 species
GGAGCUUCCAAACCGGAAGAAACAAGAGAAUACAGUAGAUAUAACAGUGAAUCCACUUGUCUGGCAAGAAGUAUCAGUUGGGAAAUUCGAGAACAAAUUUCCAUAUGGAGACAUCAAAUUCAAAUUCUCUGGUGUUUCUGGUGAUACCUGGAGGGGUCUGCUCCUCAAGGGCGUCCACAUUACCUCGUCCUCCUAAUCGAACCACCAACAAAAUUAAUAAAUAGUCUACUUAGCAGCCGCGAAUCAAAUUCUAUGUUUAGAUGGUUGUUAGGUAGUUGAUUAUCAUAUGCAUGCAACUUAUGUAAUAAAAUGAUUACUGCUGGUUGUUAGCUGCCUUGGCAUACUACCAAGUUGAUUAAUGGGCAAAAUCUACCUACAUAUAUAUGUUUUAAAUUUUAACAUCUCUCCUGAUCAAAUUAGUCUAUUUUUUUUGCAUUUUAUGAUCUAAAGAAAGAAUUAAUUUUGACAAAACUGUUAAAUCAUGGUAGUUAAUUAAUACAAACAAAUUUUUUGUAAAUUGAAAUUAUAAUCAUUAAACUUCACAAUAGAUUAUAGAAAGAUCUCAAUAACGCCCGCAAUGGUUGGUUCAGCUGGUUAAAAGAGGGGACUUGUAUCCUCUUGGUCACAUGUUUGGGUUUGGCUGCUUUCAUACCCAUACCUAAUUCCCCGUACCACCCAACCAAACGACCCCUUAAACUUAGAACAUGCAAAUUUUGAACUUAGAACAUACAAAUAUCAAAAUGUUCAUGGAUAUGAAAUAAGUCCAAAAUACUCGCUGAGAAGGAGGAACAAAUUAAACACUUGCACAAACAGCUAUGUUAACCAUUUUUUUUCUACAAUAUAUACACAUCAUAUUCAUGGGUAAAGACGACAACGUAUUCAUUACUCGCGUGUUUGACGAAAUUAGACGGUUAGCCGAAAGAUGGUUAUCGGUUUAAGGACGUAAGGGUGACCUUGCUUUUUCAGGGUAAGAAGGGGUAGAGAAAAUGUCUCGAGCCAAUGUUCGAGAAUCAAGCGCUACGGCGCUGAAGUAACCCAUGCCAUACUCUCGGGAAAAGCUCGAACGACCUUCAACAAAAGGGUACCUGUACCUGAAACCGCACAGGUAGGUAGGUAGAGAAUACCUAAGGGCGCGAGACAACUCUCUCUAAGGAACUCAGCAAAAUAGCUCCGUAACUUCGGGAGAAAGGGUGCCUCCUCACAAAGGGAUCGCAAUGAUUCAUAUAAAUCACUUAGUGGUAAAUGCUCAGAAUAAAUACAAAGUUUCUCGAUUUUUUUCAUUAUUGCAUUAUAAUAACAUAUUCUUUUGGGGUUAGUUAUACAUGUAGAAGAUGUAUAUUAAUAUCGUAAUAAUUCUCACUCUCAUGUUCACCUGGAAUCACACAAAACGAUGUGACGUAUUAUGUAAUAUCGCCGAAAUGUAUACCUUAUCAACUUCUAAUGGAUUACUUUUUCUCUCAUCUAACAUUAUUUUCCACAAUUGCGAAUCAAUCCCCAGUGAAAACUUUCGAGCUUUGAGUAGACUAGGUUCAAUAUUAAUUCAUCACACUACAAUGACACUAAUGUUGCGCGACAUGUACAGUACAUAGUUUCUCAAAAUCUGGCUAUGCUAUGCGUAAAUUUGAAGCUUGCUUGGUUUUGUUUCGAUGUGAUUAAAGUUUAAACUUGAGCUAUCAACCAUAGCAGAGCCAUCCAUAGAUUCCUAUAUUAGAAUCUAUUAGAAAGCCAUAUACUUUAUGAUCAGAAAAUAUUCUAGCUAUCUUAAUUCUUGGUGGUGCAGCUUAGCUUUGUUAUAGCGAUUUAUUGGCUUCUGCUUAAGUCAAAUCGUAUAUGCAACUUAAGUACCUCAGCCAAGUUAUUUAUUUCUUACUUUACGUAAUCCUACCUGUAAAACAAUUUUAAGCUCUUUGUACUCAUAACAAGAACACAUAAACUGUUUCGUUUACUGGAGUUAUGAUUACUUUGAGCCUUCUAGUACUCCUCCAAACGUCAACCAGAGUUUCAUUUGUGUUUGCAGUUGAAGGAUUUUAGUCUAAAUUGUUCCCAAAGUUCUGGCACACAGAUUAAUUCAAAUAUGACAGGAAUAAAAGAAUUAAUGCAGGGUCUAUGUCAUAUAAUUAAUGGAAAACUAAGGUCUGAUGAUCGUUCUAUAGUCAUAGAGCUUGUAUGUUCUAUUAUGACAUUGUUUGUGCUUUCGGUGAUCCUGCAACUAUGUAUGCCACCGUAUGGCAUUGAACAUACGUUAACAAAUUGAGCAAAAUCAAUAUCAAACGAAAAAGUUUGCACAAAAAUUGGGGAAACGUCAAUUUAUUGAUAGUGUUGAACAUUUUUUCAGUCGAGUUGAUAAGUUCGGACCUAAUAUAAAUCUCUUAAUUAUCAAUGGCAUAGAUUUGCUCAAGCACUUGCUCGACUUUGGACCGAACAAAAAAGAUAUAUUCGUGUGAGACUAUGAAACAGAAUCUUAAUCUGCAAGAGAUGCUAGAUGUUGAUGAGGAAUUGAUUAGGGAUUUGGAUUAAUCUGGCCAGCGGUGCUAUAAAUAGGACACACUACAUGAAAGUUUACCACAAGGCACAGAAUUCCAAAUACUUACAUAUUUAGUUAUAAGAUGGCUCAAGUAGCAAGGACUGAUGCGGCACAGGCUAUGAAAAUGGGAAAAGAACUCCCUCAUGUUGCUGGCUCAGAGGGGAAGACGGUAUGUCUACUGAAUUAUGACUCUGUAAUUAUAUAUCACAUAUUAAAUGAAGAACAUUACCGUAAUCUUAACUAUUCAUGUCUGGUAUAGCAAGUUGUGCCUUCUAAGGAGCUCCAUUACGCAGACCUUCAAGCAUGGAAAUUCAAGUAAGUACAUAAUAGUGCUGAUGGAGUUGGACUAAUUCUGCUCUAUCCAAUUGAAUUUUCUAAUUCUACUGUAUUAUGUAGUGAUGACACUGCUGAAUUUCUGGGAGGAAGCGAUCCCACAGUCGACGGAACUUACAGUGUGAAAAAUCUUGAAUUGGGAAAGAUGUACGAGGUGUCUUUUUAUAUGUCCAUAAAAAACCUUCCAGUGUCAAAUCAAGUGACACUUACCUUGGAGCUUCCGGGCGGGAAGAAAGAAGAGAAGACAGAAAAAAUUGUAGUAGUUCCACUUGUCUGGGAAGAAGUAUCUGUUGGGAAUUUCCUGAACGUGUAUCCAAGAGGAGACAUCAAAUUCAAAUUCUCUGGUGUUUCUGGUGAUACCUGGAAGGGUCUGCUCCUCAAGGGCGUCCACAUUACCUCUUCCUCCUAAUUGAACCACCGACAAAAAUAAAUACUCUGCUUAACAACUGCGAAUCAAAUUCUAUGUUUAGAUGGUUGUUAGGUAGUUGAUUAACAUAUGCAUGGAACUUAUGUAAUAAAACGACUACUACUGGCCGGUAGGCGGUAGCUGCCUAGCUUGUUGUACUAUCAAGUUGAUUAAUGGGCAAAAUCAUCACUACAACUUACCUGAGUAUGUUUUAAGUUGAUCUAACAUCUCUCUUGGCCUGACU